rnacentral:rRNA from 1 species
AUUGAACGCUGGCGGCAGGCCUAACACAUGCAAGUCGAGCGAGCGGCGGACGGGUGAGUAAUGUAUGGGGACUGCCCGAUAGAGGGGGAUAACUACUGGAAACGGUGGCUAAUACCGCAUACUAUCGGAUAACCCAUAUGGGAUUAGCUAGUAGGUGGGGUAAAGGCUCACCUAGGCGACGAUCUCUAGCUGGUCUGAGAGGAUGAUCGGCCACACCGGGACUGGAAAACGGCCCUGAACCCUACGGAAGAAACCGGGGGGAAAUUUGGAAAAAUGGGGCAAGCCUGAUGGCGCCAUGCCCCGUGUAAUGAGGAGGCCUUAAGGUUUUAAAGUACUUUCAGAGGGGAGGAGUUACCCGCAGAAGAAGCACCGGCUAACUCCGUGCCAGCAGCCGCGGUAAUUC